rnacentral:rRNA from 1 species
CUUUCAGCCGGGAAGAAAACGCAUGGGUUAAUACCCUGUGUGGAUGACGGUACCGGAAUAAGAAGCACCGGCUAACUACGUGCCAGCAGCCGCGGUAAUACGUAGGGUGCGAGCGUUAAUCGGAAUUACUGGGCGUAAAGCGUGCGCAGGCGGUUUGUUAAGAUAGGCGUGAAAUCCCCGGGCUCAACCUGGGAACUGCGUUUAUGACUGGCAGGCUAGAGUAUGGCAGAGGGGGGGUGGAAUUCCACGUGUAGCAGUGAAAUGCGUAGAGAUGUGGAGGAACACCGAUGGCGAAGGCAGCCCCCUGGGCCAAUACUGACGCUCAUGCACGAAAGCGUGGGUAGCAAACAGGAUUAGAUACCCUGGUAGUCCACGCCCUAAACGAUGUCAACUAGGUGUUGGGAGGGUAAAACCUUUUAGUACCGGAGCUAACGCGUGAAGUUGACCGCCUGGGGAGUACGGCCGCAAGGUUAAAACUCAAAGGAAUUGACGGGG